CCUGGCUGUUCUUUCCUCUCUUCAGGAUGGCCCUGCCCAAGUUGACUUCUUGAGGAAACUGCUUUGAGUUUGGCCACAGCCUUGGCAUUUCUUCAGAGCUGCACAAGGGCUGGACCCAUCUCUACAG
rnacentral:lncRNA from 12 species